rnacentral:tRNA from 1 species
UUAAUUGAAACCAAAAAGAGGUAAAUUAUUGUUAAUAAUUCAAUUGAAUUAAUUUUCCAAUUAAA